rnacentral:rRNA from 1 species
CCUACGGGGGGCAGCAGUGAGGAAUAUUGGUCAAUGGGCGCGAGCCUGAACCAGCCAAGUAGCGUGAAGGAUGACUGCCCUACGGGUUGUAAACUUCUUUUAUAAAGGAAUAAAGUGAGGCACGUGUGCCUUUUUGUAUGUACUUUAUGAAUAAGGAUCGGCUUACUCCGUGCCAGCAGCCGCGGUAAUACGGAGGAUCCGAGCGUUAUCCGGAUUUAUUGGGUUUAAAGGGCGCGUAGAUGGGUUGUUAAGUCAGUUGUGAAAGUUUGCGGCUAAACCGUAAAAUUGCAAUUGAUACUGGCAGCCUUGAGUACAGUUGAGGUAGGUGGAAUUCGUGGUGUAGCGGUGAAAUGCUUAGAUAUCACGAAGAACUCCGAUUGCGAAGGCAGCCUACUAAACUUCCACUGACAUUGAGGCUCGAAAGUGUGGGUAGCAAACAGGAGUAGAUACCCCUGUAGUC